GCUCAAGAGCUGCAGCCAUCGGUACCUGGCCGGCUGCACGGCAACCCCCUCCGCUGAGCGGGGUGCCCCAGGGGAAGAGCCGGCCCGGCGCGAUCGCGUUGGGCAAGUCAGCGGG
rnacentral:ncRNA from 2 species